UGAGGAAAGUCCGGGCUUCACAGAGGCAUGGCAACUGCUAACGGCAGCCGGGGGUGACCCCAGGGAAAGUGCAACAGAAAGAAACCGCCGCCCUUUUGGGCGGCAAGGAUGGAAAGGCGAGGUAAGAGCUCACCAGCGCACUGGCGACUUUGCGGCUAUGUAAACCCUGUCAGAAGCAACAACCGUAUGGGACAUGAUGCGGAGCCUCGCGCGUCCCGGUGUUGGCGUGACGGACCCUUGCGGUCCGCGGAGUUUUGCGGUGACGCAAAACCAAGAUAGAUCGUCGUUUAAUACAGAACCCGGCUUACGGUCCAGUC
rnacentral:RNase_P_RNA from 1 species